rnacentral:rRNA from 1 species
UACGGAGGGGGCGAGCGUUAUUCGGAAUUAUUGGGCGUAAAGGGCGCGUAGGCGGCUUGACAAGUCAAAGGUGAAAGCCCUGGGCUCAACCUGGGAAUGGCAGUGGAUACUGGAAGGCUGGAGUACGGUAGAGGAGGGUGGAAUUCCCGGUGUAGCGGUGAAAUGCGUAGAGAUCGGGAGGAACAUCAGUGGCGAAGGCGGCCCUCUGGACCAGUACUGACGCUGAGGCACGAAAGCGUGGGGAGCAAACAGG